GAACACGGAGCUUGCUCUGUGGGAUCAGUGGCGAACGGGUGAGUAACACGUGAGCAACCUGCCCCUGACUCUGGGAUAAGCGCUGGGAACGGCGUCUAAUACUGGAUAUGUGACGUGACCGCAUGGUCUGCGUCUGGAAAGAAUUUCGGUUGGGGAUGGGCUCGCGGCCUAUCAGCUUGUUGGUGAGGUAAUGGCUCACCAAGGCGUCGACGGGUAGCCGGCCUGAGAGGGUGACCGGCCACACUGGGACUGAGACACGGCCCAGACUCCUACGGGAGGCAGCAGUGGGGAAUAUUGCACAAUGGGCGCAAGCCUGAUGCAGCAACGCCGCGUGAGGGACGACGGCCUUCGGGUUGUAAACCUCUUUUAGCAGGGAAGAAGCGAAAGUGACGGUACCUGCAGAAAAAGCGCCGGCUAACUACGUGCCAGCAGCCGCGGUAAUACGUAGGGCGCAAGCGUUAUCCGGAAUUAUUGGGCGUAAAGAGCUCGUAGGCGGUUUGUCGCGUCUGCUGUGAAAUCCGGAGGCUCAACCUCCGGCCUGCAGUGGGUACGGGCAGACUAGAGUGCGGUAGGGGAGAUUGGAAUUCCUGGUGUAGCGGUGGAAUGCGCAGAUAUCAGGAGGAACACCGAUGGCGAAGGCAGAUCUCUGGGCCGUAACUGACGCUGAGGAGCGAAAGGGUGGGGAGCAAACAGGCUUAGAUACCCUGGUAGUCCACCCCGUAAACGUUGGGAACUAGUUGUGGGGUCCAUUCCACGGAUUCCGUGACGCAGCUAACGCAUUAAGUUCCCCGCCUGGGGAGUACGGCCGCAAGGCUAAAACUCAAAGGAAUUGACGGGGACCCGCACAAGCGGCGGAGCAUGCGGAUUAAUUCGAUGCAACGCGAAGAACCUUACCAAGGCUUGACAUAUACGAGAACGGGCCAGAAAUGGUCAACUCUUUGGACACUCGUAAACAGGUGGUGCAUGGUUGUCGUCAGCUCGUGUCGUGAGAUGUUGGGUUAAGUCCCGCAACGAGCGCAACCCUCGUUCUAUGUUGCCAGCACGUAAUGGUGGGGAACUCAUGGGGAUACUGGCCGGGGUCAACUCGGAAGAAAGGUGGGGGAUGACGUC
rnacentral:rRNA from 1 species